GGGGAUAUAGCUCAGUGGUAGAGCACUUGCCUAGCAAGCGCAAGGCUCUGGGUUCGGUCCCCAGCUCCG
rnacentral:tRNA from 1 species